GGGCUGGCAUGGGGGACACGAACCUCCGGGCCACUUCCAGUGAGGAAAUGCAGUCCCAGUACAUGGACAAGAAAUACCCAAGAUGCCCAACCCGGGUUUCCAGGAUCCAGUCCAGGACAUCAGGUACAGGUGUUGGGCAUCAGAACCCCCUGGAGCCUGACAAUCUGAGGAACUUUAGUGUGGAAACAAAGUUCCCCUGUGCUACUGGGGCAAGGGGAGGACCUGAAGAUCAGCUGAGCCAAGUGUAAUAAACCUACCUAGGCUGUACUGUACUGGGGGAGGUUUCCCGAGCCUGGCUUAGGUGGGUCUGACAGGGAAGUGAAUAGUUAGACAGGUGAGUCUGGGCCAGCAAAGUACAGCCAGCAGAAUGCUUCAAAUUGGAGCUGGGCUUUCCUUUCAUGACUUUGUUCUGGGGAGUUUGAUUUGUGAUCCUGCAAAUAAAUCACACGGUUUGCAGCAAA